rnacentral:rRNA from 1 species
GUGGUGACACCGAGCAGAACCCGAAAGCCGUUCUCAGUUCGGAUCGGAGUCUGCAACCCGACUCCGUGAAGCUGGAUUCGCUAGUAAUCGCGCAUCAGCCAUGGCGCGGUGAAUACGUUCCCGGGCCUUGUACACACCGCCCGUCAAACCAUGGAAGCCGGGGGCGCUUGAAGUGCGUUGCCGCAAGGCGCGCCCUAGAGCGAAACCGGUGACUGGGGCUAAGUCGUAACAAGGUAUC